rnacentral:rRNA from 1 species
GACGAACGCUGGCGGCGCGCUUAACACAUGCAAGUCGAGCGAGAACCAGUCCUUCGGGACCGGGGAAAGCGGCGAACGGGUGAGUAACACGUGGGUAAUCUGCCCUCGGUAUCGGGAUAGCGCGGGGAAACCCGGAUUAAUACCGAAUGGCCCUUUCGGUCUUCGGAUUGAAAGGAAAAGGUAGCUUCGGCCUCCGACCGCGGAUGAGCCCGCGGCGGAUUAGGUGUCUGGUGGGGUAACGGCUCACCAAGGCGACGAUCUGUAGCUGGUCUGAGAGGACGAUCAGCCACACUGGGACUGAGACACGGCCCAGACUCCUACGGGAGGCAGCAGUGGGGAAUCUUGCGCAAUGGGCGAAAGCCUGACGCAGCGACGCCGCGUGCGGGAAGAAGGCCUUCGGGUUGUAAACCGCUUUCAGGUGGGACGAAGCCACUCGGGUGAAUAGCCCAGAGGGUGACGGUACCUCCAGAAGAAGUCCCGGCUAACUACGUGCCAGCCGCCGCAGUAAUAC